rnacentral:rRNA from 1 species
GGGGACUAUUUAUGCUCUGUAGAUGGAAUGAUGGGAAUGUAAAACCCUUCCAGAGUAACAAUUGGAGGUAAGUCUGGUGCCAACAGCCGCGGUAAUUCCAGCUCCAAUAGUGUAUAUUAGAGUUGUUGCAGUUAAAAAGCUCGUAGUUGGAUUUCUGCUGUGGUCAUCCGGUACCGCCCGUAUGGGUGCGCACCUGGUUUGGCUGCGGCUUUCUUCCUGUAGCCGUCCGCGCUUAAUUGCGUGUGCUGUGUUACGGAACUUUUACUUUGAGAAAAAUAGAGUGUUUCAAGCAGGCUUGUCGCCCUGAAUACUUCAGCAUGGAAUAAUAGGAUAGGACCUUGGUUCUAUUUUGUUGGUUUCUAGGACCAAGGUAAUGAUUAAUAGGGACAGUGGG